rnacentral:rRNA from 1 species
CGGGUGAGUAACACGUGAGUGACCUGCCUUUUAGACUGGAACAACUUACCGAAAGGUGAGCUAAUGCCGGAUGAGUUAUAUAAGCGCAUGUUUAUAUAGGAAAAGUUGGGGAGACCUGACGCUGAAAGAUGGACUCGCGUCCCAUUAGCUAGUUGGUAGGGUAAUGGCCUACCAAGGCGACGAUGGGUAGCCGGCCUGAGAGGGUGGCCGGCCACACUGGGACUGAGACACGGCCCAGACUCCUACGGGAGGCAGCAG